UGACAGCAGGGCCUGGCUGCAGUUUUCACCCGUGACCCCUCCCAGCGCCUUCCUCUUACUUCUGGAGAUCACUGCAGCCCCUGGAUGCCACUCCUUCUGCCCCAGAAACUGCGACAUGCAGAGCCGCGGGGCCCUAGCUUCUCCACUUAGUAGGUGUACCUUGACCAGCCUCCUGAAGCCAGACUGGAUUCUAAUCCUCGCUCCAUUAUUCGCUAGGAUGGUGAUCCUGGAUGAGUUUCGUAAGAACUCUGUGCCUUGGUUUCCUCAUCUGCAAAAUGGAACGCUGACAUAGCAUCCGCCUGUGGUGGACUGAACUAUGGGCUCCAGUUCUUCACUCCCCCGUAAUCAAAUUAACACGACUACACCUUAGCCACAGCCUCCAGGUGGGCAAACGCACUCGUCCCCGCCACGGCUUCCAUCUUGGCCUCGCGACUUGUUUUGGCCCGUGGGGUGUUAGCAGCAUGACUGGAGCAGAAGAUGGAAACUGGACAAGGUUGGGCUUCCUUUCUCACGUACGUUUCAUCGUGGCAGCAGGCCUCUGAUGGCCUCCAGUCCACAGAGGAUGAGAGACGUGGAGCGGAUCCUAAACUCACGCCUCGAGUGGAGCUGAGCUCAGACAAGCCCCCCCCGGUACCAGCCGGAGCCCGAGCUGACUGGCAGGCAUGCGAGGGAGAAACAGACGCUUGUUGUCGUUUGCCUUGGGCCGGGAUGUUUUGUUACAUAGCAUCCUUGGAGCCAUAGUGGACUGCUACAUCGCCUCGUAGAGUUUAUGGUCCUUCUCCUCUUCCCACAUAAAUGGACUGCAGGGAAAAAGAAACUUCCUGGCCUGCCUGAUACCAACUUUAAGGAGUUUCUUCAUGGUGGCCAAGUGGAGUUCACAGGGCUUUCCCCACAGUUGAAAGGAGAUGCUGUGUAAUGAUCUUUGCUGGAGAUGAAGCUACAGAGAAUCAUGGGAAGAACUUGACGGUUCUUUGGACAUCACCAAACUUGCUUGGGGACAUGAGGCCCAGAGAGGUGACGUAUGAUCCAAGGUCACACAGCUGCUGGGGAGUAAAACCAGGUCCUGGAACCAACCUCAGUUUCCUCCCUCCUUUUCCUUCGGCAUCCCGUGUCGCCAUCUUUGUUCCUGACACCUGUUACCUGAAGCACCCCGAUCUGUUUCAGCCCUGCCAGUUGACCUUCUACCCUAAGCUAAUCCCUCGGUGGCUUCAACAUGGCCAGUAGCCUCUCACCACGUACUUUAGGCAUCCCACGGUUUCACGUGACAGGCUCUGGCUACAGGCCUCGUUCAUAUUGCUAAUUGCGUGACCCAUGAUGGUAAAUCAUGACUGGGG